rnacentral:rRNA from 1 species
GAUGAACGCUGGCGGCGUGCCUAAUACAUGCAAGUCGAGCGAACAGACGAGGAGCUUGCUCCUCUGACGUUAGCGGCGGACGGGUGAGUAACACGUGGAUAACCUACCUAUAAGACUGGGAUAACUUCGGGAAACCGGAGCUAAUACCGGAUAACAUGAUGAACCGCAUGGUUCAACAGUGAAAGACGGUCUUGCUGUCACUUAUAGACGGACCCGCGCCGCAUUAGCUAGUUGGUAAGGUAACGGCUUACCAAGGCAACGAUGGGUAGCCGACCUGAGAGGGUGGUCGGCCACACUGGAUCUGAGACACGGUCCAGACUCCUACGGUGGGCCACAGUAGGGAAUCUUACGCAAUGGAGGAGAUCCUGACGGAGCAACACCGCGUGAGUGAAGAAGGUCUUCGGAUCGUAAAACGCUGUUAUUAGGGAAAAACAAAUGUCUAGGUAACUAUGCACGUCUUGACGGUACCUAAUCAGAAAGCCACGGCUAACUACGUG